AGUCACGUUGCAAAAAGGUAACCGCCAGUCGGCCGAGUUGCAACACAGAGGGGAAGCUUCACGUCAACCCCCGCCCCACCGAGCUCCGCUCAAAGGCUAGGGAAGGACUCCGCGGGCUGGGGGAGCAGCGGUCCCGGAGGGGAGGCGGCGCGUCCGCGGAACAGCCACGUCCGAUUGGCCGAGUGCGGCAGCCUCCCAGUGAUUGGCGGAAGCGGAAGAAGGCGGGGCGCUGGGUGCAGUCUUUUCUCCCAGCUGAGUACUUUCGUUUUCCUGCAUCAAGUCUGCGGAGUGGCUCCGCCGGACCCGGAACGACGCCCUUCAGACCCCCAGACCCAGUACAGGCCACCUGGGUGCCCGGGAAAGGCAGCACCGCGCUGCCUCCGCCCACGGCUGCCUGGCCCAGCGCUCAAAAAAAGUUUUAAUUUGCUUCGUGCCAUCCUUGUAGAGCUGUCUAGGUUGGACGCCCACGUCCUGUGUAUGCAAACCCAACAGUCUUGGCACCUGACGUGAAUAACCGCUGUUUGGGUUGGAUCCUUAGCCCCUCUCUGGGACACAAGGUGACAGGAUGUCCCAGUGGUAUGAGCUUCAGCAGCUUGACUCCAAAUUCCUGGAGCAGGUGCACCAGCUCUAUGAUGACAGUUUUCCCAUGGAAAUCAGACAGUACCUGGCACAGUGGCUAGAAAAGCAAGACUG